rnacentral:rRNA from 1 species
UACGUAGGGACCAAGCGUUGUUCGGAUUUACUGGGCGUAAAGGGCGCGUAGGCGGCGUGUUAAGUCACUUGUGAAAUCUCUAAGCUUAACUUAGAACGGUCAAGUGAUACUGAAGUGCUAGAGUGCAGAAGGGGCAACCGGAAUUCUUGGUGUAGCGGUGAAAUGCGUAGAUAUCAAGAGGAACACCUGAGGUGAAGACGGGUUGCUGGGCUGACACUGACGCUGAGGCGCGAAAGCUAGGGUAGCAAACGGG